UCCCUGGUGGUCUAGUGGUUAGGGUGCUGCACUCUUACUGCAGAGGCCUCGGGUUCAGUCCCUGGUCAGGGAA